AAAUAGUUAAAUUAAUUUAAUUCAUUUAAUAAAAAUUUAAUUUAAUUAUUUAAUCCUUUCGUACUAAAAUAAAUUAUUUAAUAAAAGAUAGAAACCAACCUGGCUUACACCGGUUUGAACUCAAAUCAUGUAAGAAUUUAAAGGUCGAACAGACCUAAUACUUAAAAUUUUGCACCUAAGAUUAAUCUUAAUUCAACAUCGAGGUCGCAAACUAAUUUUCAAAUUUGAACUUAAAAAAUUAAUUACGCUGUUAUCCCUAAAGUAACUUUUUCCUUUAACUAAAAAUUUUAAUUCAAAUAUUCAUUAAAUAAUGUAAAAUUUUAAAAAAAGUUUAAAAAUUUUUUUUAUCACCCCAAUAAAAUAAAUAAUAAAAUUAAAAUAUUUAUAAAUCCAAAAAAAUUAAAAUUAACAUUUAUAAAGUUUUAUAGGGUCUUAUCGUCCCUUUAAAUAAUUUAAGCUUUUUUACUUAAAAAUAAAAUUUUAAUUAUAUAAAUAAUAAAGUUUAUUUCUCAUCAAAUCUUUCAUACAAGUCCUCAAUUAAAAGACUAAUUAUUAUGCUACCUUUGCACAGUCAAAAUACUGCAGCUAUUUAAUAAAUCAUUGAGCAGAUCCUAUAUUAAAUUAAACUUAAUACAAUGUUUUUGUUAAACAGAUGAAAAUAAUUUUUGCCGAAUUCAUAAUUUAUAAAUAUAAAUUAUACUAAUUUAAUCAUUAUUACUAAAAAUUAAAUAUUAAUUAAUAAAAUUUAAUAAAAAAAAUAAAUAGAUUUAUAAUAAAUUAAAAAUAAAUAAAUAAUAAAUUUUUACAAACUUAAAAUAAAAAUUUCUAUUCCUAUAAAUUAUUAAAAUAAAUAAAUUAUUAUAUAAAAAUUUUAAGCUUAUCCCUAAAAUAAUUUAAAUUUAAAAUAUUAAUAUAUAAAAUCAAAAUAACUUUUAAAAUUUUAAAUUAAAUUUAAAUCUUAAAUAACUAAAUAUAAUAUAACGAAUUAAAUUUCAAAACUAAUAUUAUUUUAUAAAUAUUUAUAACACAAUAAAUUAAUAAUAAAAUUAACUCUAUAAAUUUUGAGAAAUUAAAAAAAAAUUAAAAAUUUUAAUUAACCCUGAUACAAAAGGUACUAAAAAUAUUCUUUUUUAAAUUUAAUCAAUUCUUUUACAAUACUAUUAAACUAUAAAUCUAUAAAUUAAUUUUUACUAAAUACUAAAACCUUAAAUAAAUAAAUUACUUUUAUAAAAAAACAAUAAAAAACAUAAAUAUUAAUAACUUUAAUU
rnacentral:rRNA from 1 species